rnacentral:lncRNA from 1 species
GGGGAUAGCCAGAGCGACCUCUGAUGUUCUUGGCACCGAACCACAACAGGCACAGAAGGGGCCUUGAGAUCAUCCAGUGCAGCCCCUCCCUUUGCAGAGAGGAGCUGGGGCCCAGGAGGGGCGUGGUCUGGGCCCGUUUCCCGGGUCCUUCGCCAGCCAGCGCACUGGGCACCCCGGUGACGAUUUUCACAGGGAAGAGCCAAGCAUACAGUUGGCACCAGCCAAUGUUCCAAGGUUCCUCGGUUGGAAGCUUCCUUUGGACCUAAAAUCUGGUCACUGGGAGAAGCGGCUGUGACUCAGGUCUGGAAGUCCUCUUCCAUCUUUCUAAGGUGUGAUCAAAAAUACAGUGACUGUCACUACUGAGAACAAUGCAAGAGAAAGGAGGGCUCCUAAAAACAUCCCGGUGUGUCCACAUCCAGCUUAUUCACCAAUCUUGGACGUACAACUUCUGCCUCUUCCCCAAAGUCGAAAUGAUCAUGGAAGGAUAUCAAGGCAGCCACAACAGCACAACUAAAGACAUUCAUGAAAGAGGACUUCCAGAACUGCUUCAGAAAGUGGCAAGAAUGAUGAGAUAAGUAUUUUCAAAACAAGGGGAUUUGGCCGGGGAUUUAGCUCAGUGGUGUAGCCCCCUGCUACACAAGCGCAAGGACCCAAGCUCGAUCCCCAGUAUAUAAAAAAAAAAAACACAAGAGGGUUUAUUUUAGAGAGGAUUAAUGGAAAAGUGGUUUUUACCAUAAUGAAUUUUAAAAAUUUAAAAAUUCACAGUAUAUUUCAAUCACAACAUUGUUCAUGGAGCAGGGGAUAAUUGACAUCUUUACUACACUGAGACUUCUUGACCAUGAACACAAUAUACCUCUUGAUAUAUUUAGAUCUUUGGUUCUUCAUGUGUUUUGUAGUUUUCAGCAUAUGAGUAAGUCCUGUACAUGUUUUGCUAGAUUUAUACCUACAUUUUUUUGAGUGAUUGGAAAUGGUAUUAUUUUUAAUUUCAUUAUCCAUGUCUUCACUGCUAAAAUGGAAACACAACUGAUUUUUGUAUGUUUAUCUGACAUUAUUCAAUUUUACUGAACUUGUAUAUAAUUUCUAGUAGUUUAUUGUGUGUGUGUGUGUGUG